UACAUUAUGACUCCGUAAAGUUAUGAUGGAACACGAAAUAGCAUGAAAAAUAAGUCUUAAAGUAAAAUGGAUUAGUUUAAAAUGAAAAUGUUCAAGAGUUUAACAUCACUGAUAUAACUUUUCAAUAUCUACUUUAUCAAAUUAUUAUAAAUGUAUACUGGAAGAAGGAUUGCUCGAGAUACUUUUUUCUACAAAUUAAAUGGACUACAUAAUUACAAAGAUCUGUAUUUUAUCUUUUUGAACAAUACAUAAUGUAUAUAGUACUAAAAGACAAUACAUAGAACUAAAGUAAAGGAAAGAAGAGCGCAUAUCCAUGUUGGAGAUAAAGUUUUUGCUGAACAUCGUAUGUUUCUCAUGUUGAUCCGCACAUUUUCCAGGCCGCUUGUUUGAUCGCUCUUCUUUUUCUACGUUAACACAAUCGGAUUUUUCUUCUUAACGAUUGUAUUUUGCUCUUGUCUGAUAGCUAAAGUUUUACAUAGUAAAGUCAGAAUUUAGAUAAUGUUCUGCAUUUCGCGUCGUGAAAUCGUCUAUAUUUCACGACAAGAAACUCCGGAAACAAGUGGAAAUACCACGCAAAGAUGUAACGUAGAGUGCUCUGUCGCAGCGGAAAUCGUAGGGAGAAGGUAUAAAUUGAAUCGGGUCCACCACAUCCGUCGUAUAAAAUGCUUCGCACGCCCUUUAAAUUGUCUAUGAACCCUCGUAGGAAAGGCGUUGCAGCAACUUACAGACAACCAUUAUAUAACGGAAAAUGCCAAUAACUCUUCAGUAAUGUUAUCAAACGUUUGAACAUGAAAGUCAUCAAUCUUUGCUAUAAUAACGAUAUUUGAGUAGAAGUGAUAGGAUCAAGGCAUCGAUAUGAAUUUGAAGAAAAAUCAGAGGUGAACGAACGAAAGUAGGACUAUAGAUGUAAAGAAGGUACAAAGAGAAGUACGAUACGUGAAAUGAAGCUAUCGGCUGGCAAAUGGUGUGCUACGUGGUAUCGAGGGAGGUUAGUCAGGGUGGCUGGUUGGUGAUGCAUUGCGCGAACUCCCCGCGGCAAGGUCACGUGACUCGUCCCCUCGGCCUAUCAUUGAUCGUUCCCCGGAGAAGCGUUGGACACACCGUUGUCGUAUCAGCGCACGUCGUCCAUGUCCAUACUACUACACUUUAGAAUAUAGAUAUUCGUAUGAGUGAAUAGAAAACGGACGCAAGCGAAAGAUAUACACAUCCAUUACCAUCAGCAUGCAAAUUAGAUUGGAGAUUAGUGAAAAUCCUUUCGUAACAAUUCUCGGGACCACGGACGGAAUGAGGAAAGACUGAACUGUGGAAACGAGUAGCAGUAGCCCUUCUGUACUCGACGUUAGCGGUGGGCUGAAUCAAGAAGAUCGAGAGAGGAAAGUGGCGAGAAAGUCGUACAGACGUACA